rfam:Puccinia triticina 1-1 BBBD Race 1 supercont2.108, whole genome shotgun sequence.
GUGUAUGUAGCCUAGUUGGUAAAGGCAGCACUCUAGUAUGUUUCUCAGCAUAGCUGAGGUUGUGAGUUUGAAUCUCACCAGACACA